AUUGAACGCUGGCUGCAGGCCUAACACAUGCAAGUCGAACGAGUGGCGGACGGGUGAGUAAUGUCUGGGAAACUGCCCGAUGGAGGGGGAUAACUACUGGAAACGGUAGCUACUACCGCAUACCAUCGGAUGUGCCCAGAUGGGAUUAGCUAGUAGGUGGGGUAAUGGCCCACCUAGGCGACGAUCCCUAGUUGGUCUGAGAGGAUGACCAGCCACACUGGAACUGAGACACGGCCCAGACUCCUACGGGAGGCAGCAGUGGGGAAUAUUGCACAAUGGGCGCAAGCCUGAUGCAGCCAUGCCGCGUGUAUGAAGAAGGCCUGAGGGUUGUAAAGUACUUUCAGCGGGGAGGCGUUACCCGCAGAAGAAGCACCGGCUAACUCCGUGCCAGCAGCCGCGGUAAUAC
rnacentral:rRNA from 1 species